GUUUUAAUAAUUUAAAAAAAAAUACUGGUCUUGUAAGCCAGAAAUAAGCACGCCUUUUAAAACU
rnacentral:tRNA from 1 species